GGGCAUGGCGCAGCUACCAUGCAGUCGAGCGGUAGCACAGAGAGCUUGCUCUCGGGUGACGAGCGGCGGACGGGUGAGUAAUGUCUGGGAAACUGCCUGAUGGAGGGGGAUAACUACUGGAAACGGUAGCUAAUACCGCAUAAUGUCGCAAGACCAAAGUGGGGGACCUUCGGGCCUCAUGCCAUCAGAUGUGCCCAGAUGGGAUCCCUUUAUAGAGUGUGGGAAUACGGUUGUCGUAGCGCAGUCUAUUACUCACGCGGUAUCCUAGUGUUACAGGCGCGCAUGCCAAGUCCAGACUGAUCCCCAAUCUCGUCCAGGAGUCACACGGAGGCAGUCAUUUGGGGAAUUGUGGCCCAAUCGGCGCAAGCCAUGAUGCAGUCAUGUCAGGCGAAGUGCUACGAGGUCUUACGCGAACGUUAUAGCAGCUUCAGCGGGGAGGAAAGCCGAUAAGCUCACUAACUUUGUCGUUUCACGCUGACCGCAGAACGAAGCACUGGCUAACUCCGUGCCAGCAGCCGCGGUAAUACGGAGGGUGCUAAGCGUUAAUCGGAAUUACUGGACGUAAAGCGCACGCAGGCGGUCCGUCAAGUCGGAUGUGAAAUCCCCCGGGCUCAACCUGGGAACUGCAUUCGAAACUGGCAGGCUAGAGUCUUGUAGAGGGGGGUAGAAUUCCAGGUGUAGCGGUGAAAUGCGUAGAGAUCUGGAGGAAUACCGGUGGCGAAGGCGGCCCCCUGGACAAAGACUGACGCUCAGGUGCGAAAGCGUGGGGAGCAAACAGGAUUAGAUACCCUGGUAGUCCACGCCGUAAACGAUGUCGAUUUGGAGGUUGUGCCCUUGAGGCGUGGCUUCCGGAGCUAACGCGUUAAAUCGACCGCCUGGGGAGUACGGCCGCAAGGUUAAAACUCAAAUGAAUUGACGGGGGCCCGCACAAGCGGUGGAGCAUGUGGUUUAAUUCGAUGCAACGCGAAGAACCUUACCUGGUCUUGACAUCCACAGAACUUUCCAGAGAUGGAUUGGUGCCUUCGGGAACUGUGAGACAGGUGCUGCAUGGCUGUCGUCAGCUCGUGUUGUGAAAUGUUGGGUUAAGUCCCGCAACGAGCGCAACCCUUAUCCUUUGUUGCCAGCGGUUCGGCCGGGAACUCAAAGGAGACUGCCAGUGAUAAACUGGAGGAAGGUGGGGAUGACGUCAAGUCAUCAUGGCCCUUACGACCAGGGCUACACACGUGCUACAAUGGCAUAUACAAAGAGAAGCGACCUCGCGAGAGCAAGCGGACCUCAUAAAGUAUGUCGUAGUCCGGAUUGGAGUCUGCAACUCGACUCCAUGAAGUCGGAAUCGCUAGUAAUCGUAGAUCAGAAUGCUACGGUGAAUACGUUCCCGGGCCUUGUACACACCGCCCGUCACACCAUGGGAGUGGGUUGCAAAAGAAGUAGGUAGCUUAACCUUCGGGAGGGCGCUACCACUUUGAUCCUCGCC
rnacentral:rRNA from 1 species